ACCCUUCGUCGAAGCAAAAAACCCACGUCUUGUAUUUAUUUUUCCCUUUGCUCUCUCCCUUUCUCUCUAUCCCACCUCUUUUCUCUAUACGCCUGGAGUCUCAUGUUUUCUUCUUCCCACACAUGAGCCACGCCCCUCACUGUUCCUCCUCAUGGGGUGGCUUCAGUCCCUCCUCUCUCCGUUGAAGAAGCUGUGGUUACGUCUCCACUCGCCUCCGAACAAGAGAAGAGGGAUAUACAUUCUGUACGAGGAUGUCAAAUCAUGCCCGUGUGAGGACGUUCAUGUGCUGUGGUCGAUUCUGGUGGAGGCGAACGCGCCAUCCUUGCCGUCCCCCGCCAAACAAUGAAGGCUCCAGGCCACAGGGGGUUCUUCUACUUCUCAGGAUACGCUAGAAACCCCCGGUCAUGUACAUAGUAAUAUAUUAUAAUGUCGUCUUCGACUCUACACCUUCUAUAGUUUUGCCCCAUCUUUCUUCCGUCCUCUGUUUUCGAUUCUUCGAGCUUGAGAUUGUUGACUUAUGUUAACUUAAAUUUCAAGAAUCCCAUGAGGGGUACUUCUUCUUCUUCAUGACCUUGAGGGAAAGCUUCAUGAUCAUUUUGAGUAAGUGAGAGCUUGAAAGGCACUAAGCAGUAGGAUAAGAGAGGUAGUUGGAUGGAGAGAGUAUAUAUUUUGGCUUCUUAUUGUUGGCUUGUCAGUUUCAACCGUUGAGGUGGCAGUUAGUUCCCCACCUUUCAUCUUUUGUUUACGAAACUCCCUGAAGUUGACUUCCAAGGAAGCUACAAAAA